GUCGGAGGCGCUCCCGCUGGGAUCGAGGUGAUCCCGGCGGGUCUUCCCGGGCUCCGGCCACGUCUCCGGGUGGCCCCGCGGGCUGAGCGGGGACAGCGGGGCGAGAUGAAUUGUCCUCAGCGCCCCGAGCCUCCGGUAGGCUCUUCCUCAGCCCAUGGGAAGGGAGCGAUCGCUGCACCCCCCCCGCCCUGAGCCGCUCUGGGUAGUGAGGGGCUCCGGGCGCCUGUCACUGGAGAGCGGAAAUGUUAAGGAAAAAAAAACCCCAAAAAACCCAACGUAGGGCAUACCCGACUCACGCUGGCCCUCUGGUACAAACCCAAUGUGCCUAUCAUCAGUUUGAGGACUUCAGAGCACGCUUGCAGUGUGUGAUGCAUGAGGAAAAGAGAAAGAAUUAGCAUUCAUUUGAAAGUUACCUGCUUUUCAAAAGAAAUUGAAAUGAAAAAUCCCUGUUAUUAGCAUAUAAAAGAAGCAGAUUGUGCCUAGAAUAAGGAAGAAGGCAAUCUGGGCUGCGAUUCUAAUAAUGGUGGUAACAAGUAACUUUAAAUACAAACUGAGUUUCAAUCAUUCCAUUGAAGUAUGAUUGUAAUGGAUUUGUGUAGAUGAACAGAGAUCCAGAUUUAAAUUACGUGUUCAGCCAUCUUUAACCUAAAGAAUUUAAUCCUAUCGGAGAGCUGUCUUUAGCAUCUGUCUUCAUGUUCUGCACUGAGCUGAGAGAAGAUAAAACUUGAAGAUAAUGUCCAUGGAUGUCAAGGAGGUAACACAGUUGUAUUUUUAACAAUUCAGACUCAACAUAUGACCUGCUACUAGAUGUCUGCAGCGCUUUUACAUGUAUAAUUCCCUUUCAUAUCUGAUACAUUUUCAAAAAUAUUCUCA